rnacentral:rRNA from 1 species
CCUACGGGUGGCUGCAGUGGGGAAUAUUGCACAAUGGGGGAAACCCUGAUGCAGCAACGCCGCGUGAGCGAAGAAGGCCUUCGGGUCGUAAAGCUCUGUCCUAAGGGAAGAAGCAUGACGGUACCUUAGGAGGAAGCCCCGGCUAACUACGUGCCAGCAGCCGCGGUAAUACGUAGGGGGCGAGCGUUAUCCGGAAUCACUGGGCGUAAAGGGUGCGUAGGCGGCCGAUUAAGCCAGGGGUGAAAGGCUACGGCUCAACCGUGGUAAGCCCUUGGAACUGAUUGGCUUGAGUGCAGGGGAGGGGAGUGGAAUUCCUAGUGUAGCGGAGAGAUGCGUAGAUAGUAGGAGGAACACCAGUGGAGAAGGAGACUCUAGGGACUGUAGCUGACGGUGAGGCACGAAAGCGUGGGGAGCAAACAGGAUUAGAUACCCGGGUAGUU